GCAGUUGUGGCUUAGUGGUAGAGUGCUUGCCUAGCAUGUGUGAGGCACUGGGUUCGUUUCUCAGCAAUGCA
rnacentral:tRNA from 1 species